CACCGCCACAACAACCAUUUUCUUUCUCUUUGUCCGUCCAGCAAGUCAGCAACAACGCAUUGUUUUCUUUUUCUAUACCAGUGCAGGUAAGGAAUAGAGAGAGACUAAGAGAGAGAAAAGGGGCACAAAGAGAGAGAGAGAGAGAGAGAGAGAGAGAGGUCCGAGACGAGAAUGGGAGGGAGUAGGCUGGCGGCAGCAGCGGUGGUUAAUGGUGAGUGUUCCGCCACACGUGUUGCGGAGAUGAUGGAAUCGGCGGCGAUUUGGGUAAAACUCAAGCGCCCGUUGGUGUUGAUAUGAAACCGAAGCCUGAUUAUUUCUGAAGGGAUUCACAACAAAAUAAUACCAAUUGCUUGGUGUCCAUUGCCACUACCAUGGUUGAUGAUUACGAUAGUUUGGCAUCACUAUUCGACCACAAUCUGGUCAUUCAUUCCGUUUCAUCAAAUUAUUUACUUAAUCUUCUUGGUUCAUGCGGUUUUAUAUAAAACUGAUCAAAAGUAUACCCCUUUUAUAGUUCGGUAAAAUUGUAGAUGUUGUUUUCAUUGUUUUAAAAAGGAUGUUGCUCAAGAAGCUGUCAAGAAGAGACAUCGACCAAGAAGCCCUAUUGCAAGGCUAUUGUGGGAGCUACUUUGGAAGUUACUCAGAAGAAGAGAAGUGAUAGACCUAUAGUUCGUGAUGGUGCUAUGGAGGCUAGUCUUCGUGACCAAGAUUUAACAACAUUGAUGGUCUACGAAUGGUGGGAUUGCUAGGCUUCCGAUAACAGAGGCACAACCUAACACGAUUUUCCAUCGAUCAAGAUUAGCAACAUUAGUGACCUUUUGACCAUUUUAUCUCCACACGUACAUCCCAUCAACGACUGUGUUCUUAGGGCUUUCAUACCUGAACGCGUCAUCAUCGCUGAUCCCAAGUGCCCGGUGGUGUCGUUAACCGUUUCUUCUAUUCGCCAACAAAAGAUUAAUAAGUUGAUUUCCGACCCCAACUUUGGUUACCGACUUCUAUGACGGUUCCCUUUUAGAAUUUUCAAAAGGUAAUUCAAUACGGGUUCUUGCUAUGGAAAGGAAAAGAACAACUUAACAUCUCUCCUAAGUCCCCUUUGAAGUUUAUGGAAUAGUGGUAGACUUACUUAAAAGCUAUGUGCCACUUAGCUUCCUCAAGGUUCAGGAUGCAGGUCACAUGGUUCUAGAGGGCUGCACUAGAGAUGUUAAAGAGGUCAACCGAGGGAUCGCUUUAAGGAACUGUAAUGAAACAUAAAUCUUUGGUUUCUUCAGUUGUUUGUAAAUAAUGUUGCACAUUGGUUAGAUUUUGCAAAUAGCAUUUAUAUUUGUUUGUAUACAUUGCACCUUAAUUUGUAAGGCCCCCGGCCACAACGUGACGGGGCUUUAAUCUAAUUAAAAUAAAAUUAUAAAC
rnacentral:lncRNA from 1 species